UACGUAGGGAGCAAGCGUUGUCCGGAAUCAUUGGGCGUAAAGAGCGUGUAGGCGGCCGUACAGGUCAGCUGUGAAAACUCGAGGCUCAACCUCGAGACGUCGGUUGAAACCGUACGGCUAGAGUCCGGAAGAGGAGAGUGGAAUUCCCGGUGUAGCGGUGAAAUGCGCAGAUAUCGGGAAGAACACCCGUGGCGAAGGCGGCUCUCUGGGACGGUACUGACGCUGAGACGCGAAAGCGUGGGGAGCGAACAGG
rnacentral:rRNA from 1 species